GCCCGUCACACCAUGGGAGUGGGUUGCUCCAGAAGUAGCUAGUCUAACCGCAAGGGGGACGGUUACCACGGAGUGAUUCAUGACUGGGGUGAAGUCGUAACAAGGUAGCCGUAGGGGAACCUGCGGCUGGAUCACCUCCUUAAUCGAAGAUCUCAGCUUCUUCAUAAGCUCCCACACGAAUUGCUUGAUUCACUGGUUAGACGAUUGGGUCUGUAGCUCAGUUGGUUAGAGCGCACCCCUGAUAAGGGUGAGGUCGGCAGUUCGAAUCUGCCCAGACCCACCAAUUGUUGGUGUGCUGCGUGAUCCGAUACGGGGCCAUAGCUCAGCUGGGAGAGCGCCUGCUUUGCACGCAGGAGGUCAGGAGUUCGAUCCUCCUUGGCUCCACCAUCCAAAACAAUCGUCGAAAGCUCAGAAAUGAAUGUUCGUGAAUGAACAUUGAUUUCUGGUCUUUGCACCAGAACUGUUCUUUAAAAAUUCGGGUAUGUGAUAGAAGUAAGACUGAAUGAUCUCUUUCACUGGUGAUCAUUCAAGUCAAGGUAAAAUUUGCGAGUUCAAGCGCGAAUUUUCGGCGAAUGUCGUCUUCACAGUAUAACCAGAUUGCUUGGGGUUAUAUGGUCAAGUGAAGAAGCGCAUACGGUGGAUGCCUUGGCCCCACAGGCG
rnacentral:misc_RNA from 1 species